rnacentral:lncRNA from 1 species
AUGAAAUUACGAAAAGAUAAAUUAAAAUAAAAAAUACAAUUAUCGGGAGCCAGCGCCAAUAUAAAUAAAUAAAUAAAUCAGAGCUACGAAAUUUUUGGUACAAGAUAUAUUGCAUAUUUUUUUUUUUCGAGUGCAAAAGAACUCAUUCUUCCCUGCAUGUAAGUUUGCUCUCUUGGGUCUUAUCUUACAAUAGGUUUCUACAUGACAUCAUAUUUACAUAUACCGAAAAGGCAAUAAUACUUGCGAUUCCGUCUUAUUGGACAAUCUUUAACAGUUUUACAUUUAACUUGUGCUGUAACAAAAAAGAAAAAAUAAAGCAAUGUUACUAAAUACAAACAAAAGAUAGAAAUUUGAAAAGGAUGGAAAAAUAGUUUACCGUCAACGUUCUUUACAAUAAAAAAUAGGGUAAGAAAUAAAAUCGUAGCAAUCACAAACUUAAAUGUUUUAGUCAUAUUUU